UACGUAGGCAGCAAGCGUUGUUCGGAGUUACUGGGCGUAAAGGGUGCGUAGGCGGCUCUAUAAGUAUGGUGUGAAAUCUCCCGGCUUAACUGGGAGGGUGCGCUAUAGACUGUGGGGCUAGAGUGCGGGAGAGGAAAGUGGAAUUCCUGGUGUAGCGGUGAAAUGCGUAGAUAUCAGGAGGAACACCGGUGGUGUAGACGGCUUUCUGGACCGUAACUGACGCUGAGACACGAAAGCGUGGGUAGCAAACAGG
rnacentral:rRNA from 1 species